CCAAGACUUAGAGAUGGAAAGUAGUUCAAUG
rnacentral:piRNA from 1 species